UACGAGGGGGGCAAAUGUUGUUCGGAAUCACUGGGCGUAAAGGGAGCGUAGGCGGGUUCUUAAGUAAGGUGUUUAAUCCCGGGGCCCAACCCCGGACCGGCACUUUAAACGUGGAUCUGAAUAGUGGAGAGGUCGGUGGAAUUGGGAGUGUAGCGGUGGAAUGCGUAGAGAUCCCCAAGAACACCAGUUGCGAAGGCGGCCGACUGGACACAUAUUGACGCUGAGGCUCGAAAGCAUGGGGAGCAAACAGGG
rnacentral:rRNA from 1 species